UUCCUUGGAAAGGACAGCUGAGAGGGUGAAACUCCCGUCCGCCUGGUAGAAUGAGUCUUUGUCAACGAGUCGAGUUGUUUGGGAUUGCAGCUCUAAUUUGGUGGUAAAUCCCAUCUAAAGCUAAAUAUUGGUGGGAGACCGAUAGCGUACAAGUACCGUGAGGGAAAGAUGCAAAGAACUUUGAAAAGAGAGUUAAAGAGUACCUGAAAUUGCUGAAACGGAAGCGAAGGAAACCAGUGUUUGUUGGUUCAUAUUUCCUUGGCCACUUGUGGCUUGGGCG
rnacentral:rRNA from 1 species